rnacentral:rRNA from 1 species
AACGAACGCUGGCGGCAUGCCUAACACAUGCAAGUCGAACGAGACCUUCGGGUCUAGUGGCGCACGGGUGCGUAACGCGUGGGAACCUGCCCUUAGGUUCGGAAUAACUCCCCGAAAGGGGUGCUAAUACCGGAUAAUGUCUUCGGACCAAAGAUUUAUCGCCUUUGGAUGGGCCCGCGUUGGAUUAGCUAGUUGGUAGGGUAAAAGCCUACCAAGGCGACGAUCCAUAGCUGGUCUGAGAGGAUGAUCAGCCACACUGGGACUGAGACACGGCCCAGACUCCUACGGGAGGCAGCAGUGGGGAAUAUUGGACAAGGGGCGAAAGCCUGAUCCAGCAAUGCCGGGUGAGGGAUGAAGGCCUUAGGGUUGUAAAGCUCUUUUACCCGGGAUGAUAAUGACAGGACCGGGAAAAUAAGCCCCGGCUAACUCCGU